GUGGGGAAUAUUGGACAAUGGGGGGAACCCUGAUCCAGCCAUGCCGCGUGUGUGAAGAAGGCCUUUUGGUUGUAAAGCACUUUAAGCGAGGAGGAGGCUACCGAGAUUAAUACUCUUGGAUAGUGGACGUUACUCGCAGAAUAAGCACCGGCUAACUCUGUGCCAGCAGCCGCGGUAAUACAGAGGGUGCAAGCGUUAAUCGGACUUACUGGGCGUAAUGCGCGCGUAGGUGGCCAAUUAAGUCAAAUGUGAAAUCCCAGGGCUUAACUUGGGAAUUGCAUUCGAUACUGGUGGGCUAGAGUAUGGGAGAGGAUGGUAGAAUUCCAGGUGUAGCGGUGAAAUGCGUAGAGAUCUGGAGGAAUACCGAUGGCGAAGGCAGCCAUCUGGCCUAAUACUGACACUGAGGUGCGAAAGCAUGGGGAGCAAACAGGAUUAGAUACCCCAGUAGUCC
rnacentral:rRNA from 1 species